CCUUGCAUCUUUUGCGACAGACUAUGUUUAUCUAUUAAGCAAAUAGUCUUACUAAUGAUGCUAUAGUAAAUAUCUCUAUCCGUAUCGGACCACUAAUAAAUAGAUGGUUUGAUUUAUUUGAGAUGAAAUCU
rnacentral:snoRNA from 16 species